AGAGUUUGAUCCUGGCUCAGGACGAACGCUGGCGGCGUGCCUAAUACAUGCAAGUCGAGCGAGCUUGCCUAGAUGAUUUUAGUGCUUGCACUAAAUGAAACUAGAUACAAGCGAGCGGCGGACGGGUGAGUAACACGUGGGUAACCUGCCCAAGAGACUGGGAUAACACCUGGAAACAGAUGCUAAUACCGGAUAACGACACUAGACGCAUGUCUAGAGUUUGAAAGAUGGUUCUGCUAUCACUCUUGGAUGGACCUGCGGUGCAUUAGCUAGUUGGUAAGGUAACGGCUUACCAAGGCAAUGAUGCAUAGCCGAGUUGAGAGACUGAUCGGCCACAUUGGGACUGAGACACGGCCCAAACUCCUACGGGAGGCAGCAGUAGGGAAUCUUCCACAAUGGACGAAAGUCUGAUGGAGCAACGCCGCGUGAGUGAAGAAGGGUUUCGGCUCGUAAAGCUCUGUUGGUAGUGAAGAAAGAUAGAGGUAGUAACUGGCCUUUAUUUGACGGUAAUUACUUAGAAAGUCACGGCUAACUACGUGCCAGCAGCCGCGGUAAUACGUAGGUGGCAAGCGUUGUCCGGAUUUAUUGGGCGUAAAGCGAGUGCAGGCGGUUCAAUAAGUCUGAUGUGAAAGCCUUCGGCUCAACCGGAGAAUUGCAUCAGAGACUGUUGAACUUGAGUGCAGAAGAGGAGAGUGGAACUCCAUGUGUAGCGGUGGAAUGCGUAGAUAUAUGGAAGAACACCAGUGGCGAAGGCGGCUCUCUGGUCUGCAACUGACGCUGAGGCUCGAAAGCAUGGGUGGCGAACAGGAUUAGAUACCCUGGUAGUCCAUGCCGUAAACGAUGAGUGCUAAGUGUUGGGAGGUUUCCGCCUCUCAGUGCUGCAGCUAACGCAUUAAGCACUCCGCCUGGGGA
rnacentral:rRNA from 1 species